rnacentral:lncRNA from 1 species
AUGGACAGGCACAGCCCCCUGCAGACCUCAUCCCAACCAGGGGGUUUCCAGAUUGGCUCACAGUUAGAAAACCGUGUCGAUUUUCCAGCGGUUGACCGUGACGUCUGGCUCCCGCGCCCCAGUCUCCUAGAUCACAAGUGCUCGAACAGACUAAAGCGUGUGUUGGUGACGGAGCAGCGGCACCUCACCGGACUGACGGGAGACUUACGCGGACGGGCAACACUGGGGGCUGUCCUGAGCCUGUGGAGAAGCCACGCCCAGAGCCUCGGCAGAGCAGCCAAACUCAGGGAAACAGCCUUGCUGACUUCCACUGUGGCCCACUGGAGAGGGUUGGUCACUCACCGAAGGUCAAAGGUGGCUCUGCAGUGGAUGGCGGACCACUUCCGCGCCAGUGCGCUCUUCAGAAGAUACUUCUCAGCGUGGGAGAAAAGGCGGAGGUUGAUCAGAGUGGGGCUUGGCCCGGAGGCCCGGGUCCAGCUGAUGAGAAGGGAGGCCUGGCUUCGGAGGAGAGGCGAGAGGCUGAGGACACGUGGCGCCUUCAGCCUCUGGACCGCACGCGUCCGGCAGACACAGGCUGUAACACACUUCUACGCCCGGGCCGCGCUCACCAGGGUGUUUACAGUGUGGCAGCGAUGCGUCCGCUCUCAGAGAGAGACGAGAGCUCUAGCCCGCGCCCACCUCCACAAGCGGCAGCUAGGCCAAGCUCUGGCCCACUGGAGGGAAUCCACCUCCCAGAGCCUGGUGGCCCGCCGACGAGGCCGAGACAAACUGGCCCUGGGGGCGAGGGAGAGCCUGCAGCUCUGGAGAGAACGUGCACACAGGAAGGGUGUAGUGCGACAGCUCCUGGAUCAGUAUUUGAAGAGAGAGAAAAUGGCAGUGAAGAGGAAAGCUCUACUCACCUGGGUCAAGACUACUAAGGAAGUUCAGAAAGCCCAAGACUUACAUCAACAGGCUUUCUUGAACAGCCGACUACAGCGAUGGCACAUCCGGUCCAAAUGCAGAGCCAGGGAGAGAAACUGCUUCGCCGCUAUGGAGAUGAAGACGCGCGGCCGAACUCUGAUGUGGGCCUUUACCUCGUGGAGGGGGUGUGUCGCCCGUCGGCAGGGAUUAACCCGGUCAGCAGUGUGCCACUGGAGACAGAGGGUGCUAGUGAGCAGGGCUGUUGGACACCGUGUCACAUGUCUGAUUGGGUUCUCCUUCAGCCAGUGGAGGUGGGCACUGCAGGGGCACAGAGACAGGCGCCAGCGGGCGAGGGAGCUGGGUAGGGUGUGGGCACAGCGGGCCAAGCAGGGCGUGGCUGCCAAGGAGAGGGCAGCAGAACUCCUCCUGCGGAGACAGUUCAGAGACGUCUCGGAUCAAUUCCACUGCUGGGUUGCAGCGCAUCGACACUUAACGAUUAGUGAGGCUUUCCACAACCAGUCUCUGUAUAAAAGGUUUUUACACAGCUGGAGAGAGUACACUGGCCUGUCCCUGGUACGAAGGCACAGAGGCGCCAGUUUCCAGCUUGGUAAAAUCAGGAGACUGAUGGCCCUAUGUUUUGCCCAUUGGAGGAGUGAGCUGGACUGGGCUCGAAACAGACAGGAGGUCCUGGAGGUGUGGCUCGACGGCCAACACUUUAAACUUUCUGUCGUCACCCUGAACUACUGGAGAACGGCCACUAGAGGGCAUUUGGCACUCAAGCACUUCAACAGGCAGACGAUAGGACAGCAUUUUUAUCACUGGAGGGAGCAGACCCACUCAUCCAGAAUAGUCAGCCUGUUCUCUGUUCAGAGGGACAGGAGAGAGGCACAGGGAGUUCUGCUAGCAUGGUGGAGCUGGACAGAAGAGUCUAGAGGCCGGAGACAGAUGGGGGAGGCGGUGUGGCUGUGGCUGGAUGGACGCAAAGUGACCAGAGCCUUCAACCUGUGGCUGGAAGUCCACCGCCGUCACCAAGAGGCCAGGCAGCUGUCCCGGGUUCACCUCCUGCGCUGGUCCUAUCAGGGCUGGCGAUGGGUUGUGAGGGAGAGCCAAUCAGCUUCAGAGGCAGCGGCUUCAUGGCGACGCACCCUCCAGAUCCAGUCAGCUUUCCGUGUCUGGAGGCGCAGUGCCGUUAUCCUCGGUGCCGCCCGGACCCUGGGUCAGAGAACGACAGCCAGGCAGAGAGUCUGUCUGCUGAGGUCAUCGAUACUCAUCUGGCAUGAGAAGGUGCGGUUGGGUAAAAGACGUUCUAUGCGCCUCUCGGGAAAGUACUUCGCCUGCUGGCUGAACAGAGUUGGCGUGAGAUGCUGGGAAAGAAGGAAACAGCUGCAGGGAACACUGAGGAAAUACGUACAGCGAUGGCGUUUGGCUGUGCUACUGAAGAGGGCACGGAGGAGACUCCUCCAGGGGUUGUGGACCAGUUGGAGAGACCAGACCGCUGCUGCCCUCCUGCUCACCACCUUGCACACUGACCAAUUGCAGCAGGGGGCGUGGCUGACCUGGCGGAGGAGACGCAUCCGAACUCGGGUCUCUGAGACCUUCGCCACCCAACUGGGCCACGCACUCCUCGCUGAGGCCUUCGACAUCUGGCGACAGAAGCAUGCUCUUCGCUGCACUGCGACGUGAGAAGAAGCAGUCCAUGCCUGUCCUCUGGUCAGUCCAGCCUUGAUCCUCCCCCACGACCCGAUCUAGUGGGGGGGGGGGGCACAGCGGCUCUCACCACACUCAAUACAUCUGAGAAACUGUACAGAUUUUUCUGGGUUUGAUGUCAUCUGGAAACAGUCAUUGCUCACUUUCUGUUUAUUUUAUGCACACUCCAGCCUCCUAGAUGUUAGCUUUCACACUUGAGUGUGUUAUAAUGCUUUGGAAUGUUUGAAUGUUAUUUAAACUCAGUUCACAGCAGCUUUUGUGACCGAUGUCAUUGUGGGAAACUAGUGUGUACGAGUCUGAGGCCUGGCAGAUACGCUCCGUUGAGCCUGAAAAACAGCA